AUACGUAGGUGGCAAGCGUUGUCCGGAAUUACUGGGUGUAAAGGGCGUGUAGGCGGGGAUGCAAGUCAGAUGUGAAAUUCCGGGGCUCAACCCCGGCACUGCAUCUGAAACUGUGUCUCUUGAGUGCUGGAGAGGAAAGCGGAAUUCCUAGUGUAGCGGUGAAAUGCGUAGAUAUUAGGAGGAACACCAGUGGCGAAGGCGGCUUUCUGGACAGUAACUGACGCUGAGGCGCGAAAGCGUGGGUAGCGAACAGGAUUAGAUACCCUGGUAGUCCACGCCGUAAACGAUGGAUACUAGGUGUAGGAGGUAUCGACCCCUUCUGUGCCGGAGUUAACACAAUAAGUAUCCCACCUGUGGAGUACGGCCGCAAGGUUGAAACUCAAAGGAAUUGGCGGGG
rnacentral:rRNA from 1 species